rnacentral:rRNA from 1 species
AUUGAACGCUGGCGGCAGGCUUAACACAUGCAAGUCGAACGAGCGGCGGACGGGUGAGUAAUGUCUGGGAAACUGCCUGAUGGAGGGGGAUAACUACUGGAAACGGUAGCUAAUACCGCAUACCAUCGGAUGUGCCCAGAUGGGAUUAGCUAGGAGGUGGGGUAAUGGCUCACCUAGGCGACGAUCCCUAGCUGGUCUGAGAGGAUGACCAGCCACACUGGAACUGAGACACGGUCCAGACUCCUACGGGAGGCAGCAGUGGGGAAUAUUGCACAAUGGGCGCAAGCCUGAUGCAGCCAUGCCGCGUGUGUGAAGAAGGCCUUCGGGUUGUAAAGCACUUUCAGCGGGGAGGCGUUACUCGCAGAAGAAGCACCGGCUAACUCCGUGCCAGCAGCCGCGGUAAUAC